rnacentral:rRNA from 1 species
CAGNUAAGAAUCUUCCGCAAUGGGCGAAAGCCUGACGGAGCGACGCCGCGUGAACGAAGAAGGCCGUGAGGUUGUAAAGUUCUUUUCGGGAGGGGGAACAACCGUGGCAGGGAAUGGCCGCGGGAUGACGUGAAUCCCGGAAUAAGCCCCGGCUAACUACGUGCCAGCAGCCGCGGUAACACGUAGGGGGCGAGCGUUGUUCGGAAUCAUUGGGCGUAAAGGGCGUGCAGGCGGUCCUGCAAGUCCGGCGUGAAAGACCCCGGCCCAACCGGGGGGACGCGCUGGAAACUGCGGGGCUUGAGUACAGGAGGGGAUGCCGGAAUUCCAGGUGUAGGGGUGAAAUCUGUAGAUAUCUGGAAGAACACCAAUGGCGAAGGCAGGCAUCUGGCCAUGUACUGACGCUGAGACGCGAAGGUGCGGGGAGCAAACAGGUUUAGAUACCCUGGUAGUCCGCACAGUAAACGAUGUGCACCAGGUGGCGGGGGGUCGACCCUCGGUACCGUAGCUAAC